rnacentral:rRNA from 1 species
GCGGAGGAAAAGAAACCAACAGGGAUUGCCUUAGUAACGGCGAGUGAAGCGGCAACAGCUCAAAUUUGAAAUCUGGUUCCUUUAGGGGCCCGAGUUGUAAUUUGCAGAGGAUGCUUUCGGUGAAGACUGCUAAUCGAGUCCCCUGGAAUGGGGCGCCAAAGAGGGUGAGAGCCCCGUAUGGUUAGUGGUUCAGCCGGUGUAAAGCUCCUUCAACGAGUCGAGUAGUUUGGGAAUGCUGCUCUAAAUGGGAGGUAAAUUUCUUCUAAAGCUAAAUACUGGCCAGAGACCGAUAGCGCACAAGUAGAGUGAUCGAAAGAUGAAAAGCACCUUGAAAAGGGGGUCAAAUAGUACGUGAAAUUGUUGAAAGGGAAGCGCCUGUAACCAGACUCGGUCGUGGGGGAUCAACCACUGUUUUCAGCGGUGCACUCCCCUACGGUCGGGCCAGCAUCGGUUCUCUUAAUGGGAUAAAGCUGCUAGGAAUGUAGCUCUUUUCGAAGAGUGUUAUAGCCUGACAGGCAAUGCCUUUAGGGGGACCGAGGACCGCGCUUCGGCAAGGAUGCUGGCAUAAUGGUUACUGGCGACCCGUCUUGAAACACGGACCAAGGAGUCAAGCAUUAGGGCAAGUGUCAGGGUGUAAAGCCCUAACGCGCAGUGAAAGCGAACGCUGGUGAGAGCUUCGGCGCAUCACCGACCGAUCUGGAAGCUUGCUGAAGGAUUUGAGUAAGAGCCUUAACGCUUGGACCCGAAAGAUGGUGAACUAUGCCUGGAUAGGGUGAAGCCAGAGGAAACUCUGGUGGAGGCUCGCAGCGGUUCUGACGUGCAAAUCGAUCGUCAAAUUUGGGCAUAGGGGCGAAAGACUAAUCGAACCAUCUAGUAGCUGGUUACCGCCGAAGUUUCCCUCAGGAUAGCAGUGUUGAUCUUCAGUUUUAUGAGGUAAAGCGAAUGAUUAGGGACUCGGGGGCGCUAUUUAGCCUU